rnacentral:lncRNA from 1 species
CUCCUGGGAUCCCAUCAUGUCAUGGUAGGAGACGAAGUGCACGAGUUUGUCAUCGAAGCAUAACAAUCUACAAGGUGUGUCACUUCUAUAGCUGCUGUAUUUGGCAUAGUCGGAUUUACACCUGUACAAUUGUACCAUAAUCAUGUUGUAAAGAUUCAUUGGAUGCAUGUACGGUUGAACCGAUUUUGCAGUAAAAAAAACAGAAGCAGUAAUUUUGACGCUGUUCCAGUUUGUCAUCGAAGCAUAACAAUCUACAAGGUGUGUCACUUCUAUAGCUGCUGUAUUUGGCAUAGUCGGAUUUACACCUGUACAAUUGUACCAUAAUCAUGUUGUAAAGAUUCAUUGGAUGCAUGUACGGUUGAACCGAUUUUGCAGUAAAAAAAACAGAAGCAGUAAUUUUGACGCUGUUCCAGUUCUA